GCGAGAGUGGCGGAACGGUAGACGCAGUCGACUCAAAAUCGACCGACCUUUGGUCAUGGGGGUUCGAAUCCCCCCUCUCGCACCA
rnacentral:tRNA from 1 species